rnacentral:rRNA from 1 species
UACGUAGGGUGCGAGCGUUGUCCGGAAUUAUUGGGCGUAAAGGGCUCGUAGACGGUUUGUCGCGUCGGGAGUGAAAACUCAGGGCUUAACCCUGAGCCUGCUUCCGAUACGGGCAGACUAGAGGUAUGCAGGGGAGAACGGAAUUCCUGGUGUAGCGGUGAAAUGCGCAGAUAUCAGGAGGAACACCGGUGGCGAAGGCGGUUCUCUGGGCAUUACCUGACGCUGAGGAGCGAAAGUGUGGGGAGCGAACAGG